GGCGCACGGGUGAGUAACGCGUGGGUAAUCUACCCUGAAGUUGGGAAUAACACCUCGAAAGGGGUGCUAAUACCCGAUAAAAUCCCCGAGACCCCGGUCUUGAGGAUCAAAGAUGGCUGAGGCUUGCAAGCUAUUGCUUUAGGAUGAGCCCGCGUACCAUUAGCUAGUUGGUGGGGUAAUGGCCCACCAAGGCCGUGAUGGUUAGCUGGUCUGAGAGGAUGGCCAGCCACACUGGAACUGAGAUACGGUCCAGACUCCUACGGGAGGCAGCAGUGAGGAAUCUUGCGCAAUGGGGGCAACCCUAACGCAGCAACGCCGCGUGAGUGAUGAAGGCCUUCGGGUCGUAAAGCUCUGUCAGAUGGGAAGAAGGUUCCGGGCAUGAAUAAUUCCCGGGAUUGACGGUACCGUCAAAGGAAGCACCGGCUAACUCCGUGCCAGCAGCCGCGGUAAUACGGAGGGUGCAAGCGUUGUUCGGAAUCAUUGGGCGUAAAGAGCGUGUAGGCGGUCGGGUAAGUCAGAUGUGAAAUCCCUUGGCUUAACCAAGGAAGUGCAUUUGAAA
rnacentral:rRNA from 1 species